rnacentral:rRNA from 1 species
GUCUAAAGUCAUACCUGUCUGAAGACAUUCGAUCUUAUCUGAUCUCAGGAGCUAGGCAGGGUCGGCCUGGUUAGAGCUUGAAUGGGAGACCAGCUGGUAGAGUAGUGACCAGAAU